GACGAACGCUGGCGGCGUGCUUAACACAUGCAAGUCGAACGGAAAGGCCCCUUUUGGGGUCCUCGAGUGGCGAACGUGUGCGUAACACGUGAGUAACCUGCCCUUGACUUCGGGAUAACUUCAGGAAACUGGUGCUAAUACCGGAUAGGAAUCCUUGCUGCAUGGUGGUGGUUGGAAAGCUUCGGCGGUUUUGGAUGUACUCGCGGCUUAUCAGCUUGUUGUUGGGGUAGUGGCUUACCAAGGCUUUGACGGGUAGCCAGCGUGAGAGGGCGACCGGCCACAUUGGGACGGGAAUACGGCCAAGACUCCUACGGGAGGCAGCAGUGGGGAAUAUUGCAAAAUGGGCGGAAGCCUGAUGCAGCAAAGCCGCGUGGGGGAUGACGGACUUCGGGUUGUAAACCGCUUUCAGCAGGGGCGAAGCUUGUGGUGACGGUACCUGCAGAAGAAGCACCGGCUAACUACGUG
rnacentral:rRNA from 1 species